rnacentral:rRNA from 1 species
AGAGGUGGCAAGUGUUGUUCGGAUUUACUGGGCGUAAAGGGUCCGCAGGCGGCUUUGUGUGUCAGAUGUGAAAGCCCACGGCUUAACCGUGGAAAUGCAUUUGAAACUACAGAGCUAGAGUACGGGAGAGGAGAGGGGAAUUCAUGGUGUAGCGGUGAAAUGCGUAGAUAUCAUGAAGAACACCGGUGGCGAAAGCGCCUCUCUGGACCGAUACUGACGCUCAUGGACGAAAGCCAGGGGAGCAAAGAGGAUUAGAUACCCUCGUAGUCCUGGCCAUAAACGGUGCGCACUUGAUGUGGGAGGUUUACCCCCUUCCGUGUCGAAGCUAACGCGAUAAGUGCGCCGCCUGGGAAGUACGGCCGCAAGGUUA